UACAGAGGGGGCAAGCGUUGUUCGGAAUUACUGGGCGUAAAGGGCGCGUAGGCGGCCCACUAAGUCAGACGUGAAAUCCCACGGCUCAACCGUGGAACUGCGUCUGAGACUGGAGGGCUUGAAUUCGGGAGAGGGAUGCGGAAUUCCAGGUGUAGCGGUGAAAUGCGUAGAUAUCUGGAGGAACACCGGUGGCGAAGGCGGCAUCCUGGACCGACAUUGACGCUGAGGCGCGAAAGCCAGGGGAGCAAACGGG
rnacentral:rRNA from 1 species